rnacentral:rRNA from 1 species
UGCGCAGGAGGCCAGGUGUGUGAGGCGUGAAAGCCCGAUGCUCAACAUCGGAAUUGCACCUCAAACUACAUGGCUAGAGCAUUGGAGAGGGUAGCGGAAUUCACGGUGUAGCAGUGAAAUGCGUAGAUAUCGUGAGGAACACCAGAGGCGAAGGCGGCUACCUGGACAAUUGCUGACUCUCAGGCACGAAAGCGUGGGGAGCAAAAGGGAUUAGAUACCCCUGUAGUCCACGCCCUAAACGGUGCACACUAGGUCUUUGAGGAUUCGACCCCUCAAGGGCCCAAGCUAACGCGUUAAGUGUGCCGCCUGAGGACUACGGCCGCAAGGCUAAA